AGUGAACGCUGGCGGUAGGCCUAACACAUGCAAGUCGAACGGCAGCACAGUAAGAGCUUGCUCUUACGGGUGGCGAGUGGCGGACGGGUGAGGAAUACAUCGGAAUCUACUUUUUCGUGGAGGAUAACGUAGGGAAACUUACGCUAAUACCGCAUACGACCUACGGGUGAAAGCAGGGGAUCUUCGGACCUUGCGCGAUUGAAUGGGCCGAUGUCGGAUUAGCUAGUUGGCGGGGUAAAGGCCCACCAAGGCGACGAUCCGUAGCUGGUCUGAGAGGAUGAUCAGCCACACUGGAACUGAGACACGGUCCAGACUCCUACGGGAGGCAGCAGUGGGGAAUAUUGGACAAUGGGCGCAAGCCUGAUCCAGCCAUACCGCGUGGGUGAAGAAGGCCUUCGGGUUGUAAAGCCCUUUUGUUGGGAAAGAAAAGCAGCAGGUUAAUACCCCGCUGUUCUGACGGUACCCAAAGAAUAAGCACCGGCUAACUUCGUG
rnacentral:rRNA from 1 species